ACUAGAUGUAUAAUAUCUACAUGAUUAAUAUCAUAUUAUAGCUGAAUCACAUUAAUGUGUGAUUAGCUAUAACAAAUUGUUGUUUUCGCCUUUGGCCUACGUUUCCUGUUAUUUAGGCUUACUUUAUAUUCUGUAUUAAUACCUACAUUACUACAAAUAAAUUAUACUGUAUGUAUAAUUUAUUUAUUCUAUAUUAUUUUAUUUAAAACAAUAUUAUAGCUUUUGGGUUUACUACAAGAAUCAUAAUAUUACGUAAACAUGGUUUUGAAUUUUCACUCUUCAUUACAAAAAUUUUCGCCAUCUGUUGUGUUAAACGUUAAUUAGUAAUUACUAAAUUACCACGGACUAAGAUGUAAUAGAUUAUAUCUUAGUCCGUGGACCGUGGUAAUUAAAUACGUAUUUAAAAUUUAACAUGAAUUUAACAGUUCAUAAUUCUAUUCUUCAGUUAUUUUUCCCGGUAUUUAAAUUACUCCAUACAGUAUCAUUGUUGAUGAAAAAACGGUAACUUUUCUUUUUUAGAUACUAAUGGUGGUCUGUUUUUUAAAUCGCAUUAAUCAUUUUUAGCUGUCGGUUUUUUACUCCUACGUCCCACGUUAAUCUACCCGAAAGAGCUUUCAUUGUGUAGUUGCGGUUUUGAUUUGGGACGUGACAAAAGAGUUAAUCUUUAUAUACAACCACAGAGUUCAAACGCAUGGUCAUAAUAUCUCUAGAACAAUGUCCAUGACAUUUAAUCUAUUUAUAUUAUCAAGUUUGAUCUAUCCCAUGUUACAUUUGCAUACUGGGACAAGGACACGUACAUAAUUUAAGUCAUCCAAGACACUUGACCAACCAAUCACAAAUUUUGUUUUAAUAGCAAUGGUCAAAUAUUUGUUUACAGCAAUGGAUAAAGUGGCUGACCAAAAGGUCUUGAGUACUCCACCUAAAAGGCUGCAGAUAUUCUUAAAACCUGCAUAGUCGUAUAGAGGUUCUAAAACUAAGAAAAGUAGUAUUUAGAUAAACAUAAACUGUAUGUUUUUAGUUAUAUUUCGAAUAACUACUUCAGUAUUGUUUUCUAUUAAUAUUUUAAAAACAAAUAUUGUGUAUAAUUAUCUCCAUUUUGACCUGAUGUUUAAUUUACAUUGCUGUGU